GCCAGCAUGGUUUAGUGGUUUGAGCAUUAGACUAUGACUCUGGAGAUUAGGGUUUGAAUCCCUGAUUGGCC